ensembl:snRNA U6 U6 spliceosomal RNA
UUGCUUCCGCAGCACAUAUACUAAAAUUGGAAUGAUACAGAGAAGAAUAGCAUGGCCCCUGCGCAAGAAUGACAUGCAAAUUUGUGAAGCGUUCCAUGUUUAA